UACGUAGGGCGCAAGCGUUGUCCGGAAUUAUUGGGCGUAAAGAGCUCGUAGGCGGUUUGUCACGUCUGCUGUGAAAACCUAAGGCUCAACCUUGGGCUUGCAGUGGGUACGGGCAGACUAGAGUGCGGUAGGGGAGACUGGAAUUCCUGGUGUAGCGGUGGAAUGCGCAGAUAUCAGGAGGAACACCGAUGGCGAAGGCAGGUCUCUGGGCCGCAACUGACGCUGAGGAGCGAAAGCAUGGGGAGCGAACAGG
rnacentral:rRNA from 1 species